AUAUGCAGUUAUGCCAAAGUUUUCCGGAAGUCCUUGUCACAUACAACAAUAAAGUUCUUCAUCAAAUUAUACAGAGUUCCGUUAAAACCGAAAAUUCAUCGUCAAAUUUAUGCAAAGAACGAUCGAGGCUUCUAAAAAGUUCUUGUACAAUUCUGCCUAAAUAAUUGCAAUCCCAGUCAACACUCUUCCAUCGUGUGUGGCAGUCAUCAUCCAACCUCCAUAUCAUCCUUGUAAGUGGAGUAUGAAAGUUAAGAAACAUCAAAUUAGGCAAUCGCAUAAUGCAGAUUCAUCUCAUACUGGAGAACACAAGAUCAAAACCAAAAGUGAUGGAUCCCAAUCCUAGAUCCAUCACGUAACAAGCAAUUUUGCACAGCUGCAAUAAAAAUCAUUAUCACCAUGUAAUACAAAUGGAUGGGCAAGCAGGAAAAAGCAAUCCCAAUCCUUAUCUCCUUGUAAAACAACUCAUGGAUUUGGCAAGCGGGGAAGGGGAGGAUUACCUUCCGGAGGAUGCAUAACACAGCUCGUCCGUCGCGGGAUAUGGUGCACGGAGGGUUGGUGAGGGUGGACUACCAGAUCUGCAGCACACUUGUUGACGGAGAGCGAUCCGGGGACUCCGUGUCGCACGCAGUCGUGGGGAGUAGGAUGAUCUAGUUGGAGACCUCCAGAUCAGGAGUGUGGCCGCCGGAGGGGAUGGAAGGGCUGGUUGGAUCUUGAGAUAAUGGAGAGAGAGUGAGAAAAAUAUGCGGCGUCCGGUUUAGUGUGGAGAGAAAUGGGUAUGGAGGUGUAGGCAUGAUGCAAAACGUCAAAUACGAUUUGACUGUAUUCAAUAUGUAUGCCGCGGAGAAAAUGGGAGGAGGGAUAAUUGUGCGGGACCAGGUGGGCUAGGAACGCUCGCAUCCACAAGUCACAGCGACGACAGCAAUAGGGGUUGCGCGCACAACCAGUUUGGAAUAGCCAUAUUCGUCUCGUCCAGGCAAUCUCCGCCAACAACGCCACCAUGCUGAUCAUGCUCCAUCUCCUCUUCUCCCAGCUCGUUGUGGCGGAGGGACGACUUGAGGCCCAACUGAGCGUAACUCUCGGCAAAAGGAGGCCGCAACAACAACUAUGGCAACCACGGAGCGCCCCCAAAC
rnacentral:lncRNA from 1 species